CGCCUUUCUCCCUCUCGCCGCGAGGUCUCCCUUGCUGGCAGGACCUGGGCCGCCUGGUACUGGGUGGGCGCCGGGCAUUGCCGUGUUUGUGGAGGUUCGCGUUGUAUUAUUUCUUGCACCACAGGGGCGGAUUUUGGUGCUCAAAUGGGCUACAUAAAUCUGUCAGUGAACUUCUGGCAUCUGACAGUGGGACUCUGCGGGGGCUUCUUGCUGACAGCUUGGCUUUGCAUAGGCGUCUUCUAAUUGUUACAGUAUUCACAGGCAUUUCCUGACAGUCUGACAGCAACUGAUGACCCAGCAGAAUCUUCGGGUCAUAACCGGGAACUGUUUCGUUUCCAUCAUCAAACAAUGAAGACUGCUGCUAAAGUCACCUCAAUGAGCAGAGCUCCAAUAAAAAUAUAAAAUCCCACAA